rnacentral:rRNA from 1 species
UACGUAGGCAGCAAGCGUUGUUCGGAGUUACUGGGCGUAAAGGGUGCGUAGGCGGCUUUUUAAGUUUGGUGUGAAAUCUCCCGGCUCAACUGGGAGGGUGCGCCGAAUACUGAGAGGCUAGAGUGCGGGAGAGGAAAGUGGAAUUCCUGGUGUAGCGGUGAAAUUCGUAGAUAUCAGGAGGAACACCGGUGGCGAAAGCGGCUCCUGGCCCGACACUGACGCUCAUGUACGAAAGCGUGGGGAGCAAACAGGGA